rnacentral:lncRNA from 10 species
CGCGGGAAAACGUCACUUCCGCCCGCGGCGUCACGUCCGCGAGGCUCCCGGGCCCGCCGGCGUCUGUGGGGAACUGGGGCGCUGGUCGGUGCGCGGGCUGGGACGCUAAGUCAUGAGGAAUUAAACUGGGAAACCUGGCGUGGGUCCAGGCGCCUUCCAGGAGGCAUCCGGCGCGGCCCGGACGUGCUUCUACCCAGAACCACCCCCUCCAGGCCGGGGUGCACUUAACGGGGCUAUACAAAGAGUCUGACACUGUUAUUGCCCAUCUGAACUCGUCAACUGAGAAGGAAAGAGAUGGUUUAUGCUGUGAAUAAAAUACAGUUGUGCUGUGAUGUAAAUCCCCUCAUCCUGGAGCAGCUGAGCAAGGUCUAAGGCAGGAAGAACCUUCAAGCAGGUCAUGGCUGCUCAACUCUGCCUGGCAGUGGCAAGGGCCAGGGCCAGUGACUGAAGCAACAAACUGCCAGAUGACUGCAGCUCAAGCCAAUGCACAAAGCCACUGCAACAAGAGAGGAAAUUCUUCCAUUUCCAAGUGUGUCGAUUUCUCCCCAUCAAGGAAAACAGCUAAGGCAAUGUGUUGAUAUUUUCUUUGACCAAGUCAUCAGGAGUCACAUAGACAUACAGCACUCAAGAAGUGGCUGUAACUAAAGGCACAUCUCGUUCAUCUACAACCCUUGUAAUCCCAACCUUUGUCUGAUGCACAAACCCUUCCCUAGUUCUCCCCACCACCACCACUGCACCUCCAAGUGGGGACAACGAAUUGUUUCAUUUGCAUGUGGUUUUUCUCAUGAAAAAUAUCAUUAACAUGAGACAGCCCCAAACCAAGGAAACCAGAAGUGGGGUUUGUGCUUGGUCUUACUGAGAGCUUUCCCUACUUGACCAGACCCCAGCAUUGUUCUAGAUUUGUCUCUUGUGGGCUACAGGAAUGCAAACAUUUUGUAGUUUCCUCUUUUUUGUUUUCUUAAUGGCUUGAUGAGCCACACAUGUUUCUCUAAAUGCAUGAUUUUAAAUUCACACAAUUUCUGCCAACUAAACUUAAUGCAUUCUCCUCCUCUUCUAAUCAAUAAGGGCUAUCAGAAUGUUUUGGGUGAAGAUGAGCGGAAGGUAAGAAAUUACAUACUGUGGGCCAGGUUUGGUGACUCACAUCUGUAACCCCAGCACUUUGAGAGACCAAGGCAUGCAGAUCGCUUGAGGCCAGGAGUUCAAGACCAGCCUGGCCAACAUGGCGAAAUCCUAUCUGUACUAAAAAUACAAAAAUUACCCAGGCGUGAUGGCUCAUGCCUGUAGUCCCAGCCACUCAGGAGGCUAAGGCAAGAGAAUCACCUGAACCCAGGAAGUGGAGUUUGCAGUGAGCUGAGAUCACGCCACUGGACUCCAGCCUGGGCAACAGAGUGAGACUCUGUCUCAAAAAAAAAAAAAAAUUACAUACUGUCGAGUAUGACCUAAAAACAUAGAGAGACUAUAUUUCAAUAGUAUGACAGGAUUAUGUUAGCUGCUAAUAACAGAACCCAAAAUAACAAUAGAUUAAAUAAAAGAUUAGUAUCCCAGGUAAAAGUCUAGAGGUAGGAAUUCUAGGACUAAGUGAAGGUUCUGCUCAGUGAAGUCCUCAGGGACACAGGCACCUUCAGCUCAUAACUCUAUCAUCCCUGGAGGGUACUUAAGGGUCCAGGAUGGCAGCCAAAAGUCGUACCUACGUUUUAAACAGCAGGGUGCUGGAAGGCAUAAAGAAAAAGCCAGAGGCACACGCCUGUUCUCACUUAAGGAAAAUUCCUGGAAACUGCCACAAUACACCUUCGCUUACAUCCCAUUGAUCAAAACGUGGAUGCAAAGCCACACCUUACUGUGGGGUACAGGGAAAAAAAACUUUUUUUGACAAUCAUGAGUUCAUUAACAGAAUUCAGGGAUCUCUUAAUACAGAAGCAAGGGAGAACAGCUGUUGGGGGACCACCGGAAGUCUCUGCUCUAAAGAACAAUGUAAAUACCUGGUGGUAGACUAACACUGAUGGCCUACAAUGAAUCACACCUACUGACAUUCAUGCCUUUGUGCAGAGUUCCACACUGAUGCUGGGCUUGGCCUUGUGACUUGUUUGGCCAAUAGGAUCUCAGCAAGCACCUUGAUAAGUGCUUGUGCAUUAGGGCUUGCUGUCCUGAAAUCCAGGUGCCAUGUAAGAAGUGUGGGUUAGUCCCUAUGAAGAUGACAGACCACAUGGAGAAAGAGGCUGAGCCUAUACCCACCCACCUACCAGAGAAGAUCAGCAGAAGAACCAGUGAAUCAUUAUUGCUUUAGUCAUUAAUUUGGGGGCAAUUUGUUAUACAGCGAUAGAUAAGUGGUACAGUACAUAGACAAAUUUCUGCAGUUCAUCGAGCAUUAGCACCAAAUAAGUAUACAACAGUGUUUGGAGCACUAAAGAGAGUAUAAAAUAUUGCUUAAAAUUGUUUCCUUGGCCUCAUGAAACAGAAAUCGGCUCUGAUUAGCAACCAAAAAAUGAGAAUUUAUUGGAAGA